UACGGGGGGGGCAAGCGUUGUUCGGAAUUACUGGGCGUAAAGGGCUCGUAGGUGGCCAACUAAGUCGGACGUGAAAUCCCUCGGCUUAACCGGGGAACUGCGUCCGAUACUGGUUGGCUUGAGUUUGGGAGAGGGAUGCGGAAUUCCAGGUGUAGCGGUGAAAUGCGUAGAUAUCGGGAGGAACACCGGUGGCGAAGGCGGCGACCUGGGUAGAUACUGACGCUGAGGCGCGAAAGCGUGGGGGGCAAACAGG
rnacentral:rRNA from 1 species